rnacentral:sRNA from 1 species
CCCUCGGCACCCAAUAGGGUCGAAGAAAUUACAGUCAAACUUCACCUUCCAGGUAAGUCUCGUUUAACUUUUUAAUUUCUUCUCCCCUAUUGGGGCCUCUGUCUCAAAUGAGACUUUAGAGCUAAAUCCUAAUUUUUUGAACUUUUUACUUGGAUAUGUAAUAACACAUAACAUGUGUAAAAUUGUCUACUUAUUUAUCUAAUCUCAACACACAUGUAACAUAUAUACAUUUCAUUGCGUAUAAUUUUCCAACAUUCUUUUACUCAUGUCUGCGUUCAAAGUAAUGUCUUUGUUAUAAAACUUCCUGAAUGUUGAUUCGCUGGACCAACCCACUGUUCUCAGUAUAGUGUCAACGGGAAUCCUUAAUGCGUGCGCGGCGCUGGCGGAAGCCACCCUGGUGCUAUGGGGUUUGAAAAUGGAGGUGUCAAUUCCUGCCAUCGUAAGAACAGAUUUCAUCCAUCUGCCAAUUGUGUCCCUGGAUGCAAAUCUAUGCGGUCGCUGAGACGUAAUGAACAGGCGUGUUACGGAACCCCGCCGAGUUUCUGUUUUUUCCAGAUAGUUACUGAGAGUAUGCCGGACACAUAAAUCUGGGUCAACGUCAUAUUUCAUCAGUUCUAUUUCUCCUAAAUGUCUCUUCGCGUUUGAAGUUUUUAGCAUAUCUCCGAUAACAAUUUUCACACUAUUUUCUUGAAAAUGAAUGUUUCGAAUGUCAAUCAAAUGCAAAGUUUGUCCCCGUUGCCCUGAAAGUAACGCCAGCAACAUAACAAGUUUAUGCGAUAACUGUAAUAAUGACAAUGAUGAUAACGGGGAUAAAGAUUUCAAAUAUUUUAAAACAAUAUUUACAUCCCAUGUGACAUUGUAUCUUGGAAGAGCAGGUCUAAGUACAAAUACUCCUCUCAUAAAUCUACGUACUAACGGAUGUGAACCAAUAUUUACAUUGUUGAGCUGAAUAAAUGAUGAUAGUGC